UACGGAGGGCGCAAGCGUUGUUCGGACUCACGGGGCGUAAAGCGCGUGUCGGCGGCUUGGCAAGUCGGGUGUGAAAUCCCGAGGCUCAACCUCGGAACUGCACUCGAAACUGCCUGGCUCGAGUCCCGGAGAGGGUGGCGGAAUUCCCGGUGUAGGGGUGAAAUCCGUAGAUAUCGGGAGGAACACCAGUGGCGAAGGCGGCCACCUGGACGGUGACUGACGCUGAGACGCGAAAGCGUGGGGAGCAAACAGG
rnacentral:rRNA from 1 species